AUUUGUUUGAGUUUCAAUAAAAGUUGUUUGUGUGAGUGUUUUAUUUCCAACACGUAGGUCUCGAUAUCCUUUUGUUUCUCUUGUGAAUGCUUUCUUGUGUGUCUAUAGAUUCCGCAGUUGAGGCAAAUCAUGUGUAAACCUUCAUAUUCUAGUUUUUGGAUGAAACAAUCAAUUUCGAUGCAUGGUAGCAAUGGUUUAUUGAGAUCUAGCAUAAUCGCUAACCUUGCAAAUCUACCUCGUUCCCCUCUACUUGUAUUAUAAUCAACCUUGAUCACUCUACCAAUUGUAGAUGCAAUCUUAUUGAAGAGGGCUUUCGUAUAGUAUCAUCUAUAUGGCAAACAUGGGAGUCUUAUCCAAACCACUACAUGGGACGGGUGUUUUUCUGCGGUCGAGAAGGUUAUACUCCAUGGUUGCACUAUUAGGUGGCUUGCAUAGAUCGUCCAUGGGCCUUCUGUUAAGAUCUUCAAGUAAUCAUUAUCGAUUUUGAAUUUGACAAUGAAGUAUUCAUUGUCAAUAUCUAAUAGUUGGUAUCUCCCUUGUGGUUUCCAGAUUGAUUGUAUUCGGGAUUCUAGGGCUUUGAAUCCAAUCGUCCUACCCAAUAAUCUUACUAUCACCGCUUGUUUCAUGUUGUUAUCGAAUCAAAUGUAUUCUCUCAGAAAAUUUGAUCGUUGGGAAAUGUCCGGAGUUGUCGAUGACAUAAUCUUCCUCAACCAAGACAAACUCAUCUUCCUCCAUCAUCAUGCUUUGUUUUCCUGUUACCAUGUCCGCAUACGUUCUCCUCUCUUUCCCUUGUUAUCCAGCCGCUUUCGAAGAAUCUUCUUUUUCUUCCUCCGGACUUCUUCCUUCAGGGAGUUCUACCAUGCUAACAUCUUUCGAUUUUUCCAAGUCAAUAACCUUCGGAUUUGACAAAAUCCUUCUUGUGUGUUUUUUAUUAUAACGCCUUCUCCCAGAACCUUAGAAACUUGGUUAUGGAUUGAUUCCGGGUUGUUAUUCUCUCUUAUUUGCAACAGAUCUUGGGAAAUGUUCCCUGUGGUGGAGCGUCUGGUGGUCUUUCUCCUUGCGUUCCGGCGAACUCACUUGUUUUCACGUCAACGUUCGCAUUAGGGUUUGCUAAUACUAAGGGUCACAUGCCGAUAAAACAAAUAUAAUAUCAUUCCUGCAAUGGGAAGGGGAACAUAAUAAAGUUUCCUGCUCACUCUAUAGGUGUGAAGAUAGAAUUGCAUAUAAAUUGCAUUUACAAAGUAAGAUAUUUGGAAUCGUGUAGCUGAGGGGAAUUGAACCCUGACCUUGGCAUAUGGGCCCAUGCCUCUACCAACCAAGUUAAGCUACUGUUGAUUUUGGACCAUUAUUUAAUUUGUGCG